UUCAGGAGAUCAUCGAGGUAGC
rnacentral:miRNA from 1 species